rnacentral:lncRNA from 1 species
CAGUCAACUUAAUGUUACUGUAUCAUGGCACCCUGCUGAUUUCAAACACCAUGUCCUGCUGUGUUCUACAGCUCAGACAGACUCCAAGGGAAGGGAAAAGAUAAGAGUGAAGAUGAUCUAAAGUGCAGGAAACACAAGCACGGCCAUGGAACUCAACCAAACAAAAUUCAAUUGAUAGAUUGCAUACUGCCUCCCACUUCAUUAGUUGACAUUUGCUGUUAAUUCAUCACCACCAGCACCAUCAUCGGAACAACUGCCUUGCAAACUCUGUCCUCACAACAUCACUAAAGAAUUAAACUGGCAACUGAGAGCAAAACAUGGGCUAGAAUAUCUGAUGGCAGAAACAAUGACAUGAAAGGACAACAAUGUCAAGUAAACUUGCUCUCCAGACUCCAUUGUUCAGAGAGAUAAAUUACAUACAGCAGAGUAUUGAAAACAGUAGAAAACACAGAGCACCUUAUCUCUCCAUAUUGAUCGUGAGCUGGCUCUUUAUCGUGAGGCGGAUCUCCUGCUGGUGAAAUUGUUCAAAAGAAGAAACAGCCUUCUGUGUAGCUGGAGCACACAAAGUAGCAGGGCACGCUUUCCCACAACUCUUUUCAAGCCACAAUAACAAAAAAGUAGAAUGCUUUUUCCCCUGGUUCAUUUAAAAGGUCUCAAACUACAAACAAACAUGUGAUCCUGAAGACUCACCCCUAAAAUAAUCCUUAUACCACAAAGCUAUGUGGAUAUUUGUACCGUAGCAAAUCUAUCGGGAGAUACUAAAAAUGAACCAUGCUUUAAAAAGAAAGGUGUCUCAUCAUGACUGAAUAAACGGAUGGCCAAUG